GCUUGUCUCAAAGAUUAAGCCAUGCAUGUUCAAGUAUAGCAAGUGUACAGUGAAACUGCGAAUGGCUCAUUAAAUCAGUUAUAAUUUAUUUGAUAGUGAAAUUGUACAUGGAUAACCGUGGCAAUUCUAGAGCUAAUACAUGCGAAAAGACCCGACUUUGCGGAAGGGUUGCAUUUAUUAGAUACAAAACCAAUGCGGGGCAACCCGGUUGUUGGUGAUUCAUAAUAACUUUUGCGGAUCGCAUGGCCUUGAGCCGGCGACGAAUCAUUCAAAUUUCUGCCCUAUCAACUUUCGAUGGUACGGUAUUGGCCUACCAUGGUUACCACGGGUAACGGGGAAUUAGGGUUCGGUUCCGGAGAGGGGGCCUGAGAAAUGGCCACCACAUCCAAGGAAGGCAGCAGG
rnacentral:rRNA from 1 species